AAGGAGGAAAGACAAAAAAUCCCCUAGGAUUUGGAACCAGAGGUGCUGACACUGUGUGCCCUUGGUUAGGUGAGGAAAUAGCAAAUUUACAUCAAAAGCUGGUUUUCGUAAGAGAGUUUAGAAAAAUCAACAGGGAAAUAAUGAGGAAAUGGAGAGGAUGACCAAGAAAAAGAAGGAGGUAAUGAAGAUAGGUAUGGGACAAAACUCACAUGAACAGACAGCAAGGGCAGGGCUUGGCAUAAACUGCAAGUCUGAUAGAACAGCAGAAUUAGACCCAAGAUCAGAACACUCAUAUGCAAGUAAAAUUCAGUGGAAUUUCAGUCAACACCAUGAGUAAACAUAGCAAUUACAGGAUUCAAAAAUGGUAAACAAUGAUAGUUUUUUUUUUUCUUCUCAGCACUACAUGUGUCAUAUAGGCAGAAUUACCGUGUGUACUUUUCUUUGAUUAACCACAGUCUUUGAGUGGGGAGUGAAAAGCAAGACCAAAACCCAAGUCACAGCCCAGAGGAAUUCUUUAAAAUUACCUGUGGCAUGAUGGGGCCUGGUGAGACAAAAUGUAAUCACAACCACCCAUAUUCUCAAAUUUCUCAGUCCUUGAUGUCUAGAUGCAUAAAGAAUGACUCUGUUACUGUGGCCAGUCACAGUUCUCAAACCAGGCUGCUUAGGCAGUCUACAACCACAUGGUUAUCCUGCUCUUGGGGAUGGGACACCACAGUUUUAAUCAAACAGCCAUUAACAUGGGACAGCUGGGAAUCCCAGAGAGCCCUGCCAGCUUGGAAUUGCCAGGGUGGGAGAUUGAGAGGGGGAUUGAGGAGAAAUGGGCAGCUGGAAAUGAGCAAGGCUUUAAAGAAAGCACUAUUAGUCAGAAACAGGAAAACACUUGACAAAGUGCCAGUGGUAGGGGAUGAGGAGACAG